AGUGAACGCUGGCGGUAGGCCUAGCACAUGCAAGUCGAACGGCAGCACAGUAAGAGCUUGCUCUUACGGGUGGCGAGUGGCGGACGGGUGAGGAAUACAUCGGAAUCUACUUUUUCGUGGGGGAUAACGUAGGGAAACUUACGCUAAUACCGCAUACGACCUACGGGUGAAAGCGGGGGAUCUUCGGACCUUGCGCGAUUGAAUGAGCCGAUGUCGGAUUAGCUAGUUGGCGGGGUAAAGGCCCACCAAGGCGACGAUCCGUAGCUGGUCUGAGAGGAUGAUCAGCCACACUGGAACUGAGACACGGUCCAGACUCCUACGGGAGGCAGCAGUGGGGAAUAUUGGACAAUGGGCGCAAGCCUGAUCCAGCCAUACCGCGUGGGUGAAGAAGGCCUUCGGGUUGUAAAGCCCUUUUGUUGGGAAAGAAAAGCAGCAGGUUAAUACCCCGCUGUUCUGACGGUACCCAAAGAAUAAGCACCGGCUAACUUCGUG
rnacentral:rRNA from 1 species